CAGCAACGCCGCGUGGAGGAUGACACUUUUCGGAGCGUAAACUCCUUUUGUUAGGGAAGAAUAAUGACGGUACCUAACGAAUAAGCACCGGCUAACUCCGUGCCAGCAGCCGCGGUAAUACGGAGGGUGCAAGCGUUACUCGGAAUCACUGGGCGUAAAGGACGCGUAGGCGGAUUAUCAAGUCUCUUGUGAAAUCUAACGGCUCAACCGUUAAACUGCUUGGGAAACUGAUAAUCUAGAGUAAGGGAGAGGCAGAUGGAAUUCUUGGUGUAGGGGUAAAAUCCGUAGAUAUCAAGAAGAAUACCUAUUGCGAAGGCGAUCUGCUGGAACUUAACUGACGCUAAUGCGUGAAAGCGUGGGGAGCAAACAGGAUUAGAUACCCUGGUAGUCCACGCCCUAAACGAUGUAUACCGGUUGUUGCUGUGCUAGUCACGGCAGUAAUCCACCUAACGGAUUAAGUAUACCGCCUGGGGAGUACGGUCGCAAGAUUAAAACUCAAAGGAAUAGACGGGGACCCGCACAAGCGGUGGAGCAUGUGGUUUAAUUCGAAGAUACGCGAAGAACCUUACCCGGACUUGAUAUCUAACAAAUCAUCCAGAGAUGGAAGAGUGUCUGCUUGCAGAAAUGUUAAGACAGGUGCUGCACGGCUGUCGUCAGCUCGUGUCGUGAGAUGUUGGGUUAAGUCCCGCAACGAGCGCAACCCACGUCAUUAGUUGCUAACGGUUCGGCCGAGCACUCUAAUGAGACUGCCUUCGUAAGGAGGAGGAAGGUGUGGACGACGUCAAGUCAUCAUGGCCCUUAUGUCCGGGGCGACACACGUGCUACAAUGGCAUAUACAAUAAGACGCAAUAUCGCGAGAUGGAGCAAAUCUAAAAAAUAUGUCCCAGUUCGGAUUGGAGUCUGCAACUCGACUCCAUGAAGCCGGAAUCGCUAGUAAUCGUAGAUCAGCCAUGCUACGGUGAAUACGUUCCCGGGUCUUGUACUCACCGCCCGUCACACCAUGGGAGUUGAUUUCACUCGAAGCGGGAAUGCGAAAUUCGCUACCCUCCACAGUGGAAUCAGCGACUGGGGUGAAGUCGUAACAAGGUAACCGUAGGAGAACCUGCGGUUG
rnacentral:rRNA from 1 species